rnacentral:rRNA from 1 species
GAUGAACGCUGGCGGCGUGCCUAAUACAUGCAAGUCGAGCGAACAGACGAGGAGCUUGCUCCUCUGACGUUAGCGGCGGACGGGUGAGUAACACGUGGAUAACCUACCUAUAAGACUGGGAUAACUUCGGGAAACCGGAGCUAAUACCGGAUAAUAUAUUGAACCGCAUGGUUCAAUAGUGAAAGACGGUUUUGCUGUCACUUAUAGAUGGAUCCGCGCCGCAUUAGCUAGUUGGUAAGGUAACGGCUUACCAAGGCGACGAUGCGUAGCCGACCUGAGAGGGUGAUCGGCCACCCUGGAACGGAGACACGGUCCAGACUCCUGCGGGAGGCAGCAGUAGGGAAUCUUCCGCAACGGGCGAAAGCCUGACGGAGCAACGCCGCGUGAGUGAUGAAGGUCUUCGGAUCGUAAAACUCUGUUAUUAGGGAAGAACAAAUGUGUAAGUAACUAUGCACGUCUUGACGGUACCUAAUCAGAAAGCCACGGCUAACUACGUG